GAGUCGACCCCUAAGGCGAGGCCGAAAGGCGUAGUCGAUGGGAAACAGGUUAAUAUUCCUGUACUUGGUGUUACUGCGAAGGGGGGACGGAGAAGGCUAUGUUGGCCGGGCGACGGUUGUCCCGGUUUAAGCGUGUAGGCUGGUUUUCCAGGCAAAUCCGGAAAAUCAAGGCUGAGGCGUGAUGACGAGGCACUACGGUGCUGAAGCGACAAAUGCCCUGCUUCCAGGAAAAGCCUCUAAGCAUCAGGUAACAUCAAAUCGUACCCCAAACCGACACAGGUGGUCAGGUAGAGAAUACCAAGGCGCUUGAGAGAACUCGGGUGAAGGAACUAGGCAAAAUGGUGCCGUAACUUCGGGAGAAGGCACGCUGAUAUGUAGGUGAAGCGACUUGCUCGUGGAGCUGAAAUCAGUCGAAGAUACCAGCUGGCUGCAACUGUUUAUUAAAAACACAGCACUGUGCAAACACGAAAGUGGACGUAUACGGUGUGACGCCUGCCCGGUGCCGGAAGGUUAAUUGAUGGGGUUAGCGGUAACGCGAAGCUCUUGAUCGAAGCCCCGGUAAACGGCGGCCGUAACUAUAACGGUCCUAAGGUAGCGAAAUUCCUUGUCGGGUAAGUUCCGACCUGCACGAAUGGCGUAAUGAUGGCCAGGCUGUCUCCACCCGAGACUCAGUGAAAUUGAACUCGCUGUGAAGAUGCAGUGUACCCGCGGCAAGACGGAAAGACCCCGUGAACCUUUACUAUAGCUUGACACUGAACAUUGAGCCUUGAUGUGUAGGAUAGGUGGGAGGCUUUGAAGUGUGGACGCCAGUCUGCAUGGAGCCGACCUUGAAAUACCACCCUUUAAUGUUUGAUGUUCUAACGUGGGCCCCUUACCGGGGUUGCGGACAGUGUCUGGUGGGUAGUUUGACUGGGGCGGUCUCCUCCUAAAGAGUAACGGAGGAGCACGAAGGUUGGCUAAUCCUGGUCGGACAUCAGGAGGUUAGUGCAAUGGCAUAAGCCAGCUUGACUGCGAGCGUGACGGCGCGAGCAGGUGCGAAAGCAGGUCAUAGUGAUCCGGUGGUUCUGAAUGGAAGGGCCAUCGCUCAACGGAUAAAAGGUACUCCGGGGAUAACAGGCUGAUACCGCCCAAGAGUUCAUAUCGACGGCGGUGUUUGGCACCUCGAUGUCGGCUCAUCACAUCCUGGGGCUGAAGUAGGUCCCAAGGGUAUGGCUGUUCGCCAUUUAAAGUGGUACGCGAGCUGGGUUUAGAACGUCGUGAGACAGUUCGGUCCCUAUCUGCCGUGGGCGCUGGAGAACUGAGGGGGGCUGCUCCUAGUACGAGAGGACCGGAGUGGACGCAUCACUGGUGUUCGGGUUGUCAUGCCAAUGGCACUGCCCGGUAGCUAAAUGCGGAAGAGAUAAGUGCUGAAAGCAUCUAAGCACGAAACUUGCCCCGAGAUGAGUUCUCCCUGACUCCUUGAGAGUCCUGAAGGAACGUUGAAGACGACGACGUUGAUAGGCCGGGUGUGUAAGCGCAGCGAUGCGUUGAGCUAACCGGUACUAAUGAACCGUGAGGCUUAACCUUACAACGCCGAAG
rnacentral:rRNA from 1 species